rfam:Glycine max cultivar Williams 82 chromosome 10, whole genome shotgun sequence.
UUCUGAUUAGACGAUGACUGUCACAUGUCAAUUUUUUAUUGGAGGUUGAUUCUAUAGACGAUGAAAAUGUAGUGUUGUUGUCAAUGUUCAUACAGAACGUGACAUGUGACAGUUAUCGUCC